rnacentral:rRNA from 1 species
GCGCACGGGUGCGUAACGCGUAUGCAAUCUACCUCUAACUGGGGGAUAGCCCGAAGAAAUUCGGAUUAAUACCCCAUAAUAUUAAGAUAAGGCAUCUUAUUUUAAUUAAAACUCCGGUGGUUAGAGAUGAGCAUGCGUCCCAUUAGCUAGUUGGUAAGGUAAUGGCUUACCAAGGCUACGAUGGGUAGGGGGCCUGAGAGGGUGAACCCCCACACUGGUACUGAGACACGGACCAGACUCC